UACGGAGGAUGCAAGCGUUAUCCGGAAUGAUUGGGCGUAAAGCGUCCGCAGGUGGCAGUUCAAGUCUGCUGUCAAAGACCGGGGCUUAACUUCGGAAGGCAGUGGAAACUGAACAGCUAGAGUAGUGGUAGGGGCAGAGGGAAUUCCUGGUGUAGCGGUGAAAUGCGUAGAGAUCAGGAAGAAACAUCGGUGGCGAAGGCGCUCUGCUGGACCCAUAACUGACACUCAGGGACGAAAGCUAGGGGAGCGAAUGGG
rnacentral:rRNA from 1 species